UGACAAUAAUUGCCAGUGUGUGUGAGUGGAGUGCAACUAUAAAACUAAAAGUACGACAGAAAAAGAGAGAAGAGGGAGACAAGAAGAGAGGAUACAAAGAGGAAAUGUGUAUGAAAAGACAAAAAAAAGGGUGCGAGACGGUCAGAAGGAAAGAUGGGCCGACGAAAAAUCCAUCGAUCAACAGACACGGCUGGCAUGUCCCGCUCAGGGUGAGACAAAUAGCAGCGUCUGUGUCACUAUCAUGUACGGUGUAUAUAUGGUGUGCCUAUCUUUGCCCGUCAUGCUCCCUGGCUUCCAAUGCAUGACAAUUAUCUUUCUCCAGACUGUGUGGACAAUAACAAAAAGCAAGGCUACUUCAGAUGACACAUUGUCCAGUGCUGUAGAACAAAAAUUGCUGUCAACAAGUGAUUUGUGCCAGCAGCACCUCUUGGGAUUUUGAGUGUUUUCACAUUGUAUGGGCAUUCGUCUUGCUUCUGCAUAUUAUAGCGUGGUCCCAUAACAUGACUGACAUUAUGAGCAAACAAUGUUGAUUUUGAGUCACACUUGCUAAACACUGAAUGGUGCACGGCGGUACGUGACAUCACCAAGAUGAGCCCACACCCUCCUCAAGCCAGCGAGAUAAAAGAAAAAGAAAAAUGUUCACACCUGUAAGUAAGAACAAUAACUAGAUGUUUCUGGUCUUUUAGUAACCCAUUGAUACUAGUUAGAAUGUGAUUGAUAAAAAAAGGUUUUCAGGGUCUCUAAAUUCUGCCACUGCUAACAUCAAUUUUAUUAUUUAUUGUCAAUGCAAAACCAAUUCGUCCUGCUCACGAAGCAGCUAUAAUAUAUAAAAUGUAGCAUGUCUAAAAAUGUUCAAUAACAAAUAAUAGGGUUGCUCAAAUUAUUGCCUUCACGUUGUCUAAUCUGGAUUCAUGGCUUCUGUCAGAAGCCUUUGUAUCCUUUCACAGGUCAUAAACUGGGAGUCCAGAGAGGUCAGAUGAACACUGAGGUCAAAAAUGAGAGUGGAACCACCCUUUUUGUUCAUCUUCAUAUGCACAAUGUUGCAGGAAGUGUUUUCUUGGAAGUCAUAUUUUGUAACCUAUUUGGUAGCUGUGCUGAAAAGCCUUCACAGCUGUAAAAUAAUUUGACUGCUUUGCAAUCACAAAAGCUCCAUAGGACACACAGCAGGAUAGGGGGAAAUUAGAUAUUGGAUUUUCCACAACAAUAAAAAACAGAAGAGCAUAAUAAAUGGAUUUGUUUUAUUUAAUGUGUUUUUCAGCCUCACUUCUGAUUUAAUAUUUUUCACGGUCAAACUUAGAGUACCCAUUUUUUCCUCUUGUUAACCAAAUACAAAUUUGAGAGGGUCAUUUAAGGAGCAACAUCAAUUUCAAUUACACAUUUUAAUUAUCUGCAAUUGGUUUCUCCUCCAUCUCAAAAACAAUAAAAUAAUAAAACAAGCUUCAUUAACUUCCUGACAUCAGCACAAACCCACACAGAUGUACACAUUUGAUUUAGACACUCUUUUUCAUGCAAAGACACAUCACAGGAGUGCAAUAAUAUUACACAUUCAUUUAAUUAUUAUAAAUAUUAAACAAUUCAAAGCAAUUUGUUAGCAAUCCUGAGAUGCUUACGCCAAUUAAACAACACAAUAUAAUUCAGAGGGUAUUUGAGGAAGAGCUAAACUUCCCAAACACCAAUAAAGAGUUGAAAUUACACUGAGACCUCAUUUUAAAGGAAUAGUCCAACAUUUUGGGAAAUAUGUUUGUUCACUGCUCUGAUUUGCCUGCAGCUCAUUUGUCCAAAGACUAGAAAAUGGGUUCUGAAUGAAACCAAAAUAAAAGUCUACACAUUGCUCCUUCUGUACUGAAAAAUAUUUAAACAUAACGUAUUUUUAGUUAAGAAAAUAGUUUGACAUUUGGGGAAAUACGUUAUUUGUGUUAGAUGAGUCCCCAAUGAGUUAGUUUGAGGCGAAGGCUAGGAACAGACGACGCCUGGUAUUGUCCAAAGAUAAGAAAACCACAAACUCUGAUAUGAGGGUGUUUUUGUUAAAUAUAUUUUUAAUCUCACAGUAUUCUAAAAAUCUUUUAAGCCAAUUCAAGCCAGCCAGCUACUUGCUGUCGGCAAAAAUGCAUAUUUCCUCCAAAAUUUCAAACUUUUAUUUUUAAAUUGAGGAUUCUGUAAAGUAUUGUGAGUAAGAGUAUUAGAAUUUUGAAGAGCAACACUGUCCACAUUAAGGGACACCAGCAUGUCUGAUUGUAUUGGUUAUAUUUUCCCUGUGCUAUAAUGAGUCAAAGUAAUAAAUAAUGCAGCCAAAUACAAGGCACACAUAUAAUUCAAAGGGCCAUGAAAUGAACGAGAACUGAACCAAAACACAGAUUUUUAACAACAUGUAGCUUUGAUGUAUUCUCUUGAAUAAUUUUUCAAUAUUUUUUCCUCAACUUAACCAUGAAAGCUAUUUUCUUUUUGCACCACAGAGUUGAGAUUUUUUGUUUAAAACACAGUCCAUUAAGGAACCCAGCAAUCAUGUGAAAAUGUAUUAUUCCCUUCAACACAUUUUGACAGCACUUAGUCACCUUCAUUCUAUUCCUCAGUUGUAAUGGAAUACACUGUAGAUGAAUUCCUCUUGAUUUUAAAACGGCAAACUCUCCAAAGUCGCAUAUUCAAAUCAAUACUUUACACAGGGACGCAUACGGAAACUGUUGGUACAAACACACUCAGUGAUCGAUACCGCAGCCAGCCGCUGUGUUAAGGGUCUGCGGGUUUGAAGGUAACCUUGUUUAAGGAUUCGGCCGUGGAGCCGUGGAGCUGUGUUAUAGAUUUGAGUUAUUUGUUUCGCUACAUACUUGCUGUGAAGACCCGUUGACCCUUCUGUUCAGCCGCUGAUUAUCUUUUCACUGGCAGAGAAAAAAAAUAUAUGUUUCUCAUUACAAGCAUUGGAGAUUGAUUGCGGUCUUCCUGCUUCAGCGCGGUGUGUCUGAUUGGUCCUGCGUCGGAGAUAAUUGCAAAGCUCGUUGUCUGAGAAACUGGUUUCUCAGGCUGGCUGCCCACACCGCAGCCCUGUACUGUCAUCCGUCUCGGGGUCUUCAGGUCGAGGUUUAUUCCUCACUGCCCAUGCAAAUGUGCUCCUCUGAACACUUUCUACGUUCGGUUGAGCUAAGCGUUUAAAAAGUAGCAGUCAUUAUGAAAUGAAAGGUUGUACGGUGUUGCUCAUGAAAUUCAUAAUCUUCUGGCUGCUUCCAUGGCCAGAUCGACAACAACAGACUUUCAACCCGUUUUAUAUUUUAAUCUCUGUACUUAUUUAUUUUAUUACGCAGUAUCAUAAUAUACUCUUUCAGUUGUAGAAACAAACUCAGUGUUCUAUGGUUAAGCUUCGAGCAUAGCCUGCUCUAAUUUCACCUUAAUGAUGAACUGUAUCAGUUAUUGCAUGUCCAUCGGCCCGGCAUAGGGAUCAAUCUGUUGCACAGUCAGGUUUUUAUAAGGCUCUAAGGAUAAAGUGUGUUGUGUACUGGACAGAUUGUAAAAACAUAUUGACAAAUUUGUGAUUUGUCGUAUCGGACCACAUAAUUAAAUGGACACAACUUUGUUCAACAUCAGUGCACCCACAACAAAACAUCUGUUUGAAUCCUGACUUGUAGAGAAGCUUUGUAAAAAACGUCAUAGCUUCCUCACGUUUCAUUUUUUUCCGGUCCGUAGUCCAGAUGCUUCUUCUAAUUAAGAACUGUUUCAAAAGGCUCUCGACGCACAGCAGCCAAAAUGGGAUCCAUCAGCCAUGUGCCAUGUUAGACAUUCAGUGAGAAGCUCAGCACACAUAUGUUGGCAGAUUGGCCCAUUAACGGAAAACUUUAAGUUAUGUGUGACAAUGUGUUGGGAAUAAACAAGACAAAGGAAGCGGUGACGUGUGUCGGAUUGUAUUUGUUACACUGCAAAUGUGGGAUAGAUAAUGCUUUGGUGUAAUUUACCGUCCUUUCUCUAAAACUUUGAACCUUUUCAAAUCUAUGGAAAGAGCAUUAAAGGUCUUCUAACAACCAUAAUCACUCUUUAUUGUUGUUAGUACCACAGACCCAGAUGUGAUUGGGGUCAUUCUGAAGGUUAAAGGUCACUAAAUAAUUUCCAUGCUCCGCUGGUAUAACUGCAUCCUUUUCACACCAAAAGAGCAUAUCUAGUCAGGGAGAAAGUGUGGCUUUACCAUGCAACUUCAAAAGAAAAAGCACUUUCAAACAUGAUUGCAUGACUGCAAAACGAAAACCAAACAUCUGCCAAAAGCUUAUUCACUCAACUUGCGUUUUAUUCAUUUAAAAAAAUAUCCAACUAGGG
ensembl:lncRNA